UGAGGAAUAUUGGGCAAUGCCCGCAAGGGUGACCCAGCAACGCCGCGUGGAGGAUGAAUGUCGUAAGAUUGUAAACUCCUGUUAGAGGGGAAGAAUAGUACCGGUUGGACCGGUAUAUGACUGUACCCUCAGAGAAAGCCCCGGCUAACUACGUGCCAGCAGCCGCGGUAAUACGUAGGGGGCAAGCGUUGUCCGGAUUUACUGGGUGUAAAGGGCGCGCAGGCGGGAUAAAAAGUCAGUGGUGAAAUCCUACAGCUUAACUGUAGAACUGCCUUUGAUACUUUUAUUCUUGAGUUCGGGAGAGAGAGACGGAAUUCCAGGUGUAGUGGUGAAAUACGCAGAUAUCUGGAAGAACACCAGUUGCGAAGGCGGUCUCUUGGUCCGACACUGACGCUGAGGCGCGAAAGCGUGGGGAGCAAACA
rnacentral:rRNA from 1 species